GGGAAGCGGAUCCCCUGCAGGCCUGGCCCAGGAAGCCCUCCUCCCUACUUACUCCCUUCUGUGGAUUCCCAGGCCCUGGGGACAAUGCUGCCACUAUUCCAUGGAAGGAGCUUGGGGCCCUGAGUAACUUCGUGGAGCACAGCACCACAUAGUCCACUCAGGCUAUGGCGUCAGCAAGAGUAAAGCUUUACCGAGGGACUUUAUAGAGAUGUGUUGGUUAAAAUGGGAAACCAAGGGGCUGCCACUUCUGUGGCUGCCCAAGCAAAGGAGAGGGAGAAAGUGGGCCGCACCCCCCUUGCUGCCCUGCCCAGCACUGACCACACCUGGACACAGCAGGUAGGUGGGGUGUAGAACAGGGGCUGUGACCAGAGUGGAAGAGCCGGGCGUUUCCACAUAAACCCUGUGGCUGGGAAUAGCGUGUGCUCCUGGGAGAAACCCCAAUCAGCCAGGACAGCACAUCAGUGGGACAGGUAUUUGACAGCUUGAAAGGCAGUCCCCGCACAUCCUCUGUGAACACUGGAAGCCACUAACCCAGACACUUCUCCAACCCCUGACGGACCAACUUGCUGGGGCCCAGGAGAUUUAACUGGGAUGUAUUGGAUUUUCACCUCAAACUGACCCUGUGACUAGUCUGUGGCAGAAUAUUUCAGGUCUAGCCUUUAGAAAUCCAGGACUCUGACCUUCAACUUCUUUCCUGUUGGAACCUGCACUUUGGGGUUCUGAGCCAAACGCUCUGAGCCAUUGACCCAGCCAUUUUUCCAUUUUAUAACAAAAUAUUUGAGGUUGGUCAUUUUGUUUAAAAAGGUUCAUCUAGCUCACAGUGUUGGAGGCAGACAGUCUAAACAGCAAGGUGCCUGCUCUGGUGAGGGCCUUAUAACAAAUCACAUCAAGACGGGACUCCUUUGGGAGGGAGGGCCAUAUGGCUAAACAGGAAGCCAGAGAGAAGGGAGUCAUGCCUUUUUAUGAUCAGCCUUUCUCAGGGACUAACUGGGGUCCCACGAGAACUGCGUAAAUCCCUUUUGCAGGAGGUGCCUCCAAUGACCUAAUUAACCUACCUCUUAAGGUUCCACCAUCUCCCGACAUCGCCCACAGUGAGGACCAGGCUUUCCUCACGUGAACCUUUGGGGAACACACUCAAACCCUUACCAAGCCCCCACAAUCACUCUCUAAAAAAAUCCAGGGGCUCUCCAGGAAGACCACAUGGAGAAACAAGACCCAGAGAGAAGCCCAGCUGUCCCGGUCAAGCCUAGCAGGGACCUAGGCCGACCACCAUCUGACCACAGCACCUGAGAGGCUCUAAGAUCAGCAGAACUGCCCCCUCCGAGCCCAGCCGGCCCCCAGGACCAGGAGAAAUAGUUACAUGGUUCUUUGGAAGUCAUUUGCUCCGUGGCAGAUAAGUAAGCAAAAGAGCAGUCAUUCAUGCUCUACCUCUCGCGAGGCUAAAAUCUUCAGAAGGAGGAGAAGGAGGAAGGGAGGAAGGAAGCAAGGGAAAUCUUAUAGGUAAGGUCAGCAGGAAGUGACCUCAAGGAGCAUAUUGAAGUGAGACAAGAUGGUACAGCGCAGGAGGCCCUUGGGGGAGCUCCCAGUCUCUAGCCGCCUCUGCUCUGGGGUCUGUCUGCACUGUUUGGAACUAAGAAUUGAGGAAGCUGCAAGAUCGGGGGUCCCCGUGUGACCCCAGCAGGCCCUUCUGAUGAAGUUCAACAAGGGCCAUUGGGGCUGCGAUGUGGACCUUCUCCCCACCAAAGCCAGCGGCCACACAGAGAAGCCACUUGGCACAGGGACCUUGGUCCAGACCCUGAGAGAGCCCCAGGGAAGGCCUAGGACCCAUGUCCUGGACUGUGGGGAGGAAAGACCCAGGGAGCACAGUGAUGGCACUUGUCCCCAGAGGAACCAAGCCCUCGAUAGCUCACACCUGCUAUCGAGGAGACGGAGUGGCCCUACAGCUCCAUGAGGUAGCCCAGAGCCCUCAACUUGGCCACAGGGGACAUAGUCCUGUCCAAGUUUGCUCCGGAAGGCAGCGUCCUGGCCUGACCUGCCCCUCCACCUUAAGUCCCCAACUAGGACUCCUCUUGCAUCUUUAUGUCCCCUGCUGGGGUGGUCCAGGCAAGUCGGAUGGAGAGUCCACUGGGGCACAGCACUCCAGGCCGGACCCUGAGUGAGCAGAGAGGGGCAGGAGAUCUGUCCUUACUCGGUGUCCCUGUCCCCUGCAGCUGCAGGUGCUUCUGCAUGCACUUCUGACUGGCUGUCAUGGCUGUCAUCUGUCCUGGCAAUGAGCCAGGGCUGUUGCCUCAGGUGACAUCACUAUGGAAACACUAAGUCAGGGCCGCACUCAGCCGAGCCAAACACGCCAAGGGCUCUCAGGGCCUCUUGUCCACCAAUCAGAAAGGCAGAGCCAGGCACAGUGACAUCUCCCUGGGACUCAUUAGCAGAGUGGAGUGGAGGUGCUGGGGGGGGUGGGGAGGACAGGACGGGGAGACGGUGGAGGGGAGAGGGGAGGAGGAAGGCAGGUGACUAUAUGGGCCUGGGAAGGACUCGGGGGUUUCCAAGCCCAGAUCACAAGGGUUGAGGGGUCUCUCCUGCCAAGUAGCCACAUCUGCCACACGCAGAACCCAAGAGACCAACCUGCCCAGGAGACCAGAGCCCAGGCUGGACCCCAGACGCAGCCCUGCAGAGACAACGAGGAACCAAGAGCCUCUGGUCCUGGGCUGCAGCCCGAGAGGCCACACAGCAGAGAUGCUUUUUUCUCAGGGAUCCAGGGAGGUUUGGGGACGCAGCAGGUCCACAUGGGGACCACGAAGGCAGGAAGGGAGAACUUUUUCUUCCAUGAACUUCUUCUCAGCUCGCCAUCACUCAUUGGCUGGGCGAGGACGUCUCACAGGAGCCCCUGAUGGAAGCCCAUCAGAGAACAGUCCCAUCCCCAGGAGCCCCUGGGCAUGGGUGAGUCUCCGGCUGGCAUUUCAGCAUGCGGACAGCCGGGUUCCCAGGCUAGCCCACACAAACCUCAGGGUCACAUCCCACCGCGGUCCCUUCUGUCCAGAGCCUAAUCGCUUCCUGAGAGGAGACAAUCUGCAGCCUGGGGAGCACCCGCCCUUCUAGCCUACACUUUGCACCAUCUCAUGAGCUAGAAGCAGAAAGGGGGGAUUAUAAGCCACGUCACCCAGAUGUCUUACUGGGCCACUCUCUGGGUGCCCGGUUCCACUAACUGUGCACGUGCUUCACGUCAGACAACCCUCUGAGGAAGGGGUCAUAUUAUGAAUGGCCCCGUCCUGUACAAAAGAAAGCAGCCUUCCAGAGAGGAAGUAGCUUGCCAAAGGCCCCUGCUGUGACUUGUCCUCCAAAUUGUCAUGUGGUAAACCCUCAGUCCCAAGCUUGGAACUGGUGGAAGGCAGUGAAAACUUUUAAGAGGUGAGACCCAAAUGGGAGGUCUUAGGUCAUCGGGGAUAUGCCCUGGAAAGGGAUUUUGAGACCUGAGGCUUUCCUCUUUCUUUCUCUCUUUGAAUUCCUGGCCACCGUGAGGUGAGCAGUUUUCUCCACCAUGUCCUCUCACCACGAUGUGCUGCCUCUUCACAAGCCCAAAGCAACAGGACUAAUCAACCAUGAACUGGAACCUCCGAAGCCGUAAGCCAAAAUACACCUUUUCUCUUUAUAAGCUAAUUAUCUUAGGUGUUUUGCUAUAGCAACAGCAAGCUGACACAGCCACAUAGCUGACAAGAGGAAGAAAUGGGCUUUGAAUCGAGGACCCUGUGAACUGCAGAACAGCAUGGUGAAACACUCUGGCACCAAGCACAGGCUGAGUCAUCUGUAAGAAGCUAUGAUACUGAGAGGGGAAAACAAAUUCCCCUUAAAUUAACUAAAGAAGUUAAAAUGUGUGGGGAAACUUUCCCUUUCCUUCUAUAUAGCUGAUGGCGGGGCAGAGAUUUACAUGGGUAAAAGGCUUUUCUACCUUCUCUAGAGAUGUAAAUCUCCCCCUCCUGGAAUCUUCCAUCAGCUUGACAUGGGUGCCAAGAGGGCCAGAAGAUCUGGGAAUAGGCUUUGCCACUGCAGGCCAGGGUGGGGACACCCUGCAGCUCCCGUGGUCUCGGCCCCUCCCCCACUCCAGACGGCAGGAGCCAGGCAGCGGAGACCCGGGGUUGAUCUGGGAUCACCGAGUCCCCCUGCAUUCUGAAACUCUCUGAGCCUCUCUGUGAUAACCACAGACCCUCAAAUGUGACAAUGAUGGCCAAGGACAGCAGCCCCGAUGAACUAAGCAUCUAGUACUCAGCCCCCUCCAAAGGGUUCCAAACCCAGGAUUCUCCCCAAGGCCAGAACUGUGAGGAUUGGUACCAAAGGGAAGAAAACUAUAAUCUCUUUGCUCAAUCAUCUAGAUUUUUAGCUGGGACGGAUUCCUGUGAACAAAAGGCAGAUUAAUCAGAGAAAAACACAAGUGUGUCCACUGUGCUUGCAGCGUCCCAGAAGAGUCACUCUAGGAAAGCCACUCUUUCUCAAAGCAGUGGCUUGGGACUCUCUCUUAAAUACGAUUUUAACAUAGAGCGAUAAAUCUUCGAGUGAGAAGACAAAGGAACGAGAAGUUUCAGCCUUGAGAGGUGGGAAAACCAUGGGUGAUGUCACCCCUAUGAGUCCAUGCAUUGGGGAGGGGCCACCAUCCAUUGGACACUCCACGAUGGGCCCAGGGUUGGGUUCUGAGGCCAGAAUCUCCUUUCACUCAGGAGCUCAUUUUCACGGAACAGGGAAGAGGGGAUUGGGAGAUGGGAUUGGUGGCACCACACUAUAGAGUCUGCUCCGACCUGAAAGGGAGGAGAGGCAUCCCCAAACACUGGGAACUAAGAGGCACACAGAGAAGCAGACCUGUGGGAAGAAGAUGGAGAAACCAUCUCCAAUGUCAUUGCCAUGUUUCCAGGAGCCAACGCUCACAUUCACCCUCUGGGAUCCCCUUUCCUAGCAUGGAGGAUUCCCGCAGGCUGAAUCAAUGGUGGGGGAAGCUGUGGGAGCUUGAAGAGGAAGAAAGGAAGCAGCUGACCUGCGGAUGGCUGUGACAGGCUAAUCUCCCAGCAGAGAAGAGUUUUGUAACAGCUAAAUCACAGACCAGGCUAGACAAGGCUGGACAUGCACCCUGUCUUAGUCCAUUUUUCCUGGCUAUCACAAAAUAACUGAGGCUGGGUACUCUAUAAAGAAAAGAGGUUUAUUGAGUUCACAGUUUGGGAGGCUGAAAGUUCAAACAGCAAUGACACCAGCUCUGGCAAAAGACCCCUGGACUCAAUCAGAUCCUAGCAGAUGGCAUCACAGCAAGAGGAAAAGAUCACAUGGUGAGAGAAGAAGCCAGAACCCAGGGAGGACCAUUUUUAACAACCUGUUCUCAUGGAACUACUUAAUUCCUUCCAAGGACAGCAGCCCCGAUGAACUAAGCAUCUAGUACUCAGCCCACCUCCAAAGGGUUCCGGACCCACAUUGGUCCAUCUCAACAUGUCACCCUGGGGAUGGAGCUGCCAGUACACGAGCCCUUGGGAAACACAUGGAGAUCAAGUCCAGACAGAGCAUGCUCCAGCUCGAGUCUCUCGUGUCUCAGGUCCAGCUUCUUGGCCUUCCUGGGCACCUCCAAAUAAACUACUUGCACAAGACUCCUUCUCUUGGGGACUGCUUCUAUGUGGACCCAAACCGAGGCAGGCCUCCAUUCUCCUCGGAGACAUUGCUUUGUUCUCAAUCAUCAUUUGCUGCUCUCAUGAUCCUCUCUGAGAGCCAGGGCUGUCCUUCGGUCACGACCUGCACAGGGCCAGUUGAACAUGGUCUUGAAGUAUCUCCGGCCAAAGGACUGCCACCCUCCUACCCCGUCUUACCCUGGACAGAAACAAAAAAAAUAAACGCUUUUGUCUUUGAGCCUCGAGAGCACCCUCACCAGAGUGUAGGUCACCUCCUGGCGGCAAACUGGGCGAGUCAGUGAAGGUCAGGACACACUGGGUGGGUUCUUCAGUAGCUCCUCCAUACCAUCACCACAGUAAGGACAAUGACCCGACGCUCUGGGACCUUUCAAAACUCCCAUAGGCCUGCCGCCUCAGCUUGCGUGAGGAUUGCAUCUCGCCGGCGUCGGCUGAUUGGGACAGCUCUGUGCUGGACCCGGUUGGAUUUAGGGUGGUUGGUGCACACCUGUAAUCCAGAUACUCAGGAGGAUCCCAAGUUCAAGGGCAGCCUGGGCAGCCUGGACCCUGUGUGAAAAUAAAAAUUUGUUCAAAGGGCUGGAGAUGUAGCUGGGCUGUAGAGUGCUUACCUAGCAAGUGUGAGGCUCUGCUUUCAACUCCUAGUACUGCCAAAGAAAAGAGGCUAAAGCCACCAAACAUACUUUUUUGGGUUUUUUGUUUUUUUUGUUUUUUUUUUUGUUUUUUUGGUAUUGGGGAUUGAACCCAGGGGCACUUAACCACUGAGCCACAUCCCCAGCCCCGUUUUAUAUUUUAUUUAGAGACAGGGUCUUGCUCACUAAAUUGAUGAGGCUGACUUUGAACUUGAGAUCCUCCUGCCUCAGCCUCCUGAGCCACUGGGAUUACAGGUGUGAGCCACUGCACCUAAAUUACAGACAGGGCUAGACAAGGCUGGGUACGCAGCCUGUCUUAGUCCAUUUUUCUUUGCUAUAACAAAAUAACUGAGGCUAGGUACUCUAUAAAGAAAAGAGGCUUAAUGGCGCAAAUAUACUUUCUAAUUAAGCAAAAGAUGAAGGUCCAGUUCUCUCUUAGAGAGGACCCCUUCUGUGAUUUUUCUCUGCAGUGAUGCCCUAGAGGGUGUGGUUGGCAGGAGGGGAGGGGACACCUGAAGAGGGAGAGGGGCCUCCCUCAUCUCCAUGCUCUGGGACAAAGCUGAUUCCCCCUACCCAGGAGAAGGCUCACAUCAGAAGUUUCAGCACAUACCUUAAUUAGAGACAGGAUUUUGUUCUCAGCCACCUCCCGCCCACCCGGGUGGGUCCCGAUAAGAGGAAGCAGCAUUGUUUUUUAUGCUUAUGAGGCGGAUCGGCUGGAAGAGAGCAUUCUAAAUGAGAUUACAUCUUAUACAUGUUUAAUGUACUGUUCUCCCCAUUUAAAAUGCAGCUCUAUUAAAAUCGCAGGGAGGGAAAAUUGACUCACAGAGCUGGGUGUGGGGAGAAUAGAUCACCAGUGAAAUGAAUAAUAUAUUAACAGAAUAAUGAUGUUGCUUCUCAUAUUAAUCGUAUAAAUCACAGGAUUCUCGGGCUGUCAGCAGAAGUUAAGGGGAAAAAAAAAAGGCCGACUUCUGAUUUUCCAGCCUGGGAGGACCGAGGCUCGUGGGGUGUGGGGCUGGCUCCGGUUAUGAAACUGGGGUUUUCCGGGCACUCCAAGAAGCCUUGCCAGGCCCUGGACUUCCCCCAGAGGUGGCAGUGCUCUGUGGAAAAGCUGCCGCUUGGCUCCAGCCUGAAUCUUGCACCGAUGCCAACUGUUUGCUGUGGAUACCAGAAAGAUGAAUGCCCCCUGGCCGAGGUGUCAAAAAUGUAUACAGGUGGUUCUAAAGAUGAGCUACCGGCCAGGACAGAGGUCUGUCCAAGAAAUGCAGGUGGGAUUUCCCCCAACAGCCCAGGUGUCCCCUACUCCUGUGGGUGCAUCUGAUGGGACAUUGGGUCCCCUGGUACCUAGGCAGGUCCUGGUAAACAAUGGGCAUCUAAUUAUAGAUUGUGAAUUGCAACCAUGUUGGAUGAGUGCCUAAGGGAUCAAUAACUCUCCUCCCAGCACUUCGGAAAGAAAUAACUUGUGGAAGCAUUGGGAACAGGCGCGUUUGGAGAGGGGUUCGCAUGGUGGUGGCAAUGCACGUGAUCUGCGCAGGGAAUUUCCACACAAGCGCAAAGAAGAGAGAACUUGAUCCACAGUCAACAGAAUCCAGCCAGGAUAUAUAGGGAGGAAAUAAAGGUGAGGAAAGCCCACCCGGGAAGCAAACCAGGGGGCCCCUUGGUUCAUAAUUAGAGGUCCGAGUGGACCCAUUCCUGUAUAUGCUGUUUUUUUUCUAAUGUGCUCUGCAGUGCUGUCCCACAGUACCAGAGUUAAUCUCUCCUUCCACGUUUGAUGUCCCAGUACCUCCUUCGUAUCACUGCUCUUGAAUUUGGGGGACAUUAUUAAGUAAAAUGAGGGUUAUUUUAACAUGUUCUGUGAUAGUGCACCACUUGAUAUCAAUGACUAAUGGGAGGAUAACAUAUGCACCGUGGAUACAUUGGUCAAAGAAAUGAUUCGCGUUCUGGGUGGGGAAGAGUGGGAUGGUGUAACACUUCUCCAUACUAUUUGAAUGGCACACAAUUUAAAAUUUUUGAAUUGUUUAUUUCUGGAAUUUUCCAUUUAAUAUUUUCAGAACUUGGUUGACUGCAGGUAAGUGAAACCAUAGAAAGCAAAACCACAGAUAAAGGGGGAUUACUGUGUUUAGUUCUCCCUCCCCAUUGGUGUUGGGCUUACACAGGUGACUCUGCCAAGUGUAUGUGAGCCCCUGUCAGAGGAGCAAAGGCUCAAAAUGUGCUUGCCUGAUUGAGCUGGCCCCCUUCUUCUUAUGCUAUUGCUAUGAGAAGCACUUCCCCUGGAGUAGGGCAGACCUGAGCCACACCUGCUGCCUGAAGCAGAGCCACCCUGCCAAACCUAGCCUGGUCCAGGGACCUACAGCUAAUCUUGCAGACCCAUGAGUAUGGACAUAAAAGCUUACUAUUGGGAACCACCAGGUGGGCUAGUUUGUUACAUGGCACUACUAUGAAAAUUUCUAGCUGAUACAGUGACAGAAUAAGGACUCAGGGCAACUUUGCCAAAGCCCAGGUCAUCAUCAAUGUGCUAAACCUCAGUCCAAGAGAGUCCUUGUGGGAGGAUGGAGGCUCCUACCAAUCCACCAACUCCUCCCAGCUCGGAUCCCACUGACUAAUCAGAGGAUUCAUCUUUCUACACAAAGGCCCUCCCCUUGGCCACAACUGAUGCAGGAUCUUCACUGCAGAGGCCUAAGUCAAGUUCCAGGCCUGAGUUGCCUUCCUUACUGGACCAGCUGGGGCCAGAAGCCACAUGUACCCAUCAACACGGAAUUAUUAAUCACACAUAUCACUGCAGGUGUGAGCGCCCACCCCUUUACUGCACCAGCUCAUUCUCUCCACCACCAUCCUAGGACGUGGGCUCUGUCUCUACCAGCCCCAGUAUCUGGAGGAGGAAGAUGAAGCUCAGUGCAGUCAAGUGACUUUCCCAAAGUAACACAGCUAAUCAACACCUGGAUCGCUUCUCCAAUGCAAACCGGUCUGACUUUGUGCAAAGUGUUGUUCCCCGUCCUCUGACCCAGGGUGUGCACCCAUCACCUCCUGAGUGGCCAGGUGUCACUGAGCCCACUCAGCACUCUGUUUCAGCUGCCCCACGUGGGAGCUCAGGCUGUGGUGGACGCCGGGGGAGGUGUGUGGAGGCGGAACAGGGCAGCCAGGCUCCAGGUGAGACUGGACAGGUGCCAGAUCUGGGGCACAAGUGAACCCACAGACAAGGGACCACUGUCUGUCACCUUCCUCAUGCUCUGCUUCCCUCUCGGAUGGCGGAAGGCUCCGAGCCAGACCCACCCCACAGACUAUGACCACACAGCCUUUCUGACACCAGCCAGGACCACGUCUCACGUGACAAAUCGUUGACAGUGCGUCACCAUCAGGCCAGUGAAUGUGCUCAGGGGCAGCGUCCCCAGCUGUCUACAGCGAUGACUGUCCAGCCUCCUCUCCGCCCACAGGGGAGCCACAGGCAGCCCAGACCAGAAGAUGCAGUCGACACCCGUGGGACACUGUGACUGUCGUGGCCCAGCCAGGCUCCCUUUCCCGGCAGGGUCCAUGUCCGAGCCUGGAUCUCUGCCCAGCAGGACCAGCCCCAUCCUGGGAGGAGGCAGGGGGGCCGAGAGAUGAAGUAUCACCAUGGUAACCGAACCCACGCCCCACCAGGGGUUUCCACCGCUUCUGCCUCUCCAGGCCACGGGAGGGCAGCUGAACCCCCAGGCUGGAGAAACUGGGGCACGGUCAAAAGUGGCUCAUGGCACCAGACAGAUCACAAGCUCCCUAGGCCCCUGGGCUGCAGCUAGAGCCAGAGCCAGCCAGGAAAGUAGGCCAAAGCACAGGAGUCCGGCCUGCACACCCUGCCGCCUGCCCCCUCCUGGAGCACCGGAAGAGGCUCUUGAAAGGACCAGAAACUCUGAGAAGGUCUCUGGCCUCGCAGUGCAGGGCCGAGAGAGCCAGACGCAGUCAAAAGGGUCCCAGAGAGCCGGGGACCAGAGGGAGAGCCGUGGACCAGAGGGAGAGGGGGGACCCUUUCCUCCUGGGUGGCCUUCAUGCAGACCUGAAUGCCCGUCUUUGCUGAUGGGAGGUGACUGGUCACCAGUGUUCCUCAAAAUGCACUCCAUGGAGGGAAUUAUUGGAGAACAGGCUCAGAAAGGCACCCUGUCAAACUCACUGUCACCCUGCAAGACAGGGGCAGAACUAGAAGCAGAACCCAACUGUCUCAGCAUCAACACCAGCCUCUGGAGGUUUUGCCAGUGAAAUCCUCAUGAGACCUGUUUUUUAAUCCCCAUGCCCAAGUCCCAUCCAGGCCAGUAAAGUCAGGGCAUCUAGUGACAGGUGGCAGAGGUAGUGAUCAUGGCACUGGGAUUUUGUCCAGGUCCAGGUGAUUUUAUCGGGCAGUCAGGACCACUAUACUGCCGCCCGGCCAUACCAGCCCACUCCCCAACUGAUCCAUCAGCCCCAAAAGUGCUUGACAUAAGUUCUUAUGUAUUGGAAAACUUGGCUGUUUAUUUUUUUUAAACCAAUAUUCAAUUACAUUUACUCUUAACGUACAGAACACAUAGUAUAAAGGUUUCAUACUGAAUAAAUGACAUUCUUUAAGCCAAGAAAGGAAGUUAAGAGGGAAUUUAGCCAGGCACGGUGGCGCACACCUAUAAUCCCAGAAGCUCAGGAGGCUGAGGCAGGAGGAUUGCAAGUUCCAAGCCAGUCUCAGCAGUGAGGCCCUAAGCAACUUAUUGAGAUCCUGUCUCUAAAUAAAACAUUUUUAAAAGGGCUGGGGAUGUGGCUCAGUGGUUAAGUGCCCCUGGGUUCAAUCCUAGUACCAAAAAAAAAAAAAAAAAGAGAGAGAGAGAGAGAGAGAGAGAGAGAGAGAGAAUUUACACCAAGUUUUAGCUGCGUUAUUGAAUUACAAAUGUGCACCUUUUGAACUCUCUCCAUGCAAUCUGGUCUUGGCAGACUGUCUCUGUAUAGAUGGUUCCAAGGUCAAAUAGAAAUGAUCACAAGUUUUCAAUAAGUAGAGAACCCUCAGCAUCCUCCUUCUGAGCAGCCUUUGCUGAGUGACCCCCCAAGUCUCACCCAGUUCCCCUCCUGUAGGUCUAGUCUCUGGCUCUCCUCGGCUGCCCCGAGGCCCCUCCUGGCUGUAUUCCCAGCCUGGACACUGAGUACCUGUGUCUCCAUCACGUCUGCCUCCUGCCCUUGGCCGUUACUCCACUUGUAACUCAUCCUAGAAUCCCCAGGCCUGUUCCGAGCCAGUGGAAGAACCCUGAGGUGUCUCACCCCAUUUUCUGUUGCUCUAACUGAACAUCACAUUUAAAACACAAAGGUUGCCAGGCGCGGUGGUGCACACCAGUACUCCCAGUGACUCAGGAGGCUGAGGCAGGAGGAUCUGAAGGUCAAGGCCAGCAUCAGCAACUUAGGGAGAUCUUGUCUCAAAAUGAAAAAAAUAAUAAUAAUAAUAAAAAGAGCUAGGGAUUUAGCUCAAUGAUAGAGAACCCUGGGUUCAAUAACCAGUACCAAAAAUAAAUAAAUAAAUAAAUAAAUAAAUAAAUAAAGGGUUAUUCAGUUUUUGGUGCUGGAAGCUGACCUUUUCCAAAGUUGUAGGGUUGCAUUUAGUAAGAGUCUUCUUUCUUUCUGAUGGGGGACUCUGUAGACUAAGGUGACACAGGGCAUUACACAGCAAAAGGGACACAUUAAGAGACCCUGCCAAAAGAACUUUUGUUAAAGACAUACUCCUGAGAUGAUCAUGAAUCCAUAAAUAGAUUAAACCAUUCAUGAGAACCGAGCCCUCAGGACCUAAUCGCCUCUUAAAGGGCUCAGCUAGUCCCACCUCUUACUACCUCAUAAGGGGGAUCCCUUUUUGUGGAGGGAACAACCCAGGGUUGCUCUGCCACUGAGCCAAAUCCCCAAUCCUUUUGAUUUUUUAUCUUGAGACAGGGUCUCACUUGGUUGCUUAGGACCUCACUAAGUUGCCACCCUCCUGCCUCAGCCUCCCAGGCUGCUGGGAUCACAGGCAUGCAGCAACACCCUGGGCAAUGAGGAUCACUUUCAACCGGAGUUUUGGUGGGAACAUUCAAUCCCUAGUAUGAGCUUUAUGUGUGAGUCAGCAACCCCGAAGAUGAUAACGGGCAGAUGAACUUGGGAAAUGAAUGUGACAUGCAGAGAUAUCUCUGCCAAGAACUUGGCUUCAUUUGCCCAGUCAUUCACAUGUCAUAGUUGUAGAAGCUCUGAAACCCUCUGCCUGGGAGGCAGCCGCUGUGGGGACUUGAAGUAAGUCCUGUGAAUGUUUGUACUCUGAAAACUAUGAGUAACUACCUUCAGGUCAUUUUCAGAAAAAUUUCCACUUUCCCUUUUUCUAACUUACGCAGAAUGAGCUUUCUGGGUCUUCAAAAGACAGUGAACAGCCACAGCCUCACCCAACAGCACAUUCUACGUCAGGUACUCAACGGACAGCUCAAGAGGACCCCAAUGCAGCAAGUGGACCCCAAUCAUCACAGGACAUCUUCCCAAGCUGAGUAGCAUCCUGGGGAGGCAGGGAGGGUGGAGAGAUUGAGGUCCUCACUCUGGUUGUGCAAACUCCUAGUUCUCUGGUCUGGGGCAACAUCUCUGCCAAGGCACAACCACCCACCCUGCUCCAGGGCUGCCUGGGACUUGGAAACUUCCAGGGGACCUCCAUCUGCGAUAUUCCACAGGAUGUUGGAGAAGCUCGGUGCAAACCAGCAGUCACCAAAAGGGACCCCCUGCUGGUGCACGAGACUCCACUGCUUAGGAUAUUUGCAAACCCCAUACACAGACUAGACCUGCCCUCUGUGGAAGAGGGAGAUGUGGAGGAGGAAGUGGAGGUGGGAGGCUGGAAAACCCAGUCUGGAUCAAGAUUGCAAGUUGGAAACCUUGUGAAAACAGACUGCUUGUGCCAGGUAUGGUGGAGCACGCCUGUAAUCCCAGCAGCUCUAGAGGCUGAGGCAGGAGGAUCGCAAGUUCAAAGCCAGCCUCAGCAAAAGCGAGGCCCUAAGCAACUCAAUGAGACCCUGUCUCUCAAUAAAAUACAAAAUAGAGCUGGGGAAGUGGCUCAGUGGCUGAGUGCCCCUGAGUUCAAUCCCCAGUACCCCCUCCCCCCCCCCAAAGAAAAGGAGGUGGAUGAUCAGAGGAUUGGAGAUUUGCAGAAUAUUCUAGCCUUAGCUGUGAGAAACUUUGCUCCAAGGUGGAAUUAAAGGAAUGAAGAAGGAGGGGGAAUUCCAUUCUGGUCUCAUAAAAAGGCUCCACGAACCACCCCUUGCUGCGACUGGACCCAUUAAAGACCUAAUUUCCAUUCACCUAUAACUUUAUUAGGCUCAUCCAAGCUAUUCAUCAGACAAGCCUGUCUUGAGAAGGGUGUAGAAUGACUUUUAUUAAAAUAGCCUCUUGGAGGCGACUGUAUUAGGUUUUAUGACCCCACACAGAUCUACCUCUGCAAAGAGAAGAGCCUCUCACCACUGCUCAGAGGUUACAGGUGGGAUGCGGGGAGACAAGAUGUCCCAGACGCCCAUCCCCAGAUAGGAGUCAGAAGUGGGUUUGGGCCACAUCUCUGCAAGUCCGGGUAAAAUUUUCCAUCCCUGAGAGCUGCCUGAUGACUCUCUUGCAGUGCCAUCCCCCCUAAUUCCCAGCUGUCCUGCCCUUCAGCCAUGUGCUAGAGUUAAUGUUUAUUUUUGGAAACUGGUCCCCAGGCAGAGCCUGGAGAGUCAGGAUAAGGGGUGGCUGGGCUACUGGAAGACUGUGACAGGGGGACCUGGGGGCACAGAGCUUGGCAAAAACGUAGAAGGGAACAGGUGCAAGAGGCUGAACUGGGUGAGAAUCAUCUACCAGAGCCACGUAGAAGUGCCUGGGCUCCUCACCAGGGAAAGAGGGGAAGGGGACAUCCCCGAUUCACCCAUGAGUGUGCACAUCUUCCCUGCAUUGGACAGAAAGCCCCCCGUGGGGAUGAGUGGGAAAGGGAUCAAAGUGAAUCUCCCAAGAUCAAGGUCAGCUCUACAGCUUUGCUGCGGAGAGAACUGGAGUGAGCUAUUCAGCCACUCUGAGCCUUGGUCUCCUCAUCUGUAAAACAGAGCUCGCAUCUUUCAAGUUGCUGGGUCAUUGGCAGGAUUAUAGCAGACAAAUCACACGAAGCAUUGAGCAGAGGGCCUGGCGUGGCUGCUGUGAGUGUCACAACGACGAUAUUGUCCCAUGAUGAGCAAGUUUUGGGGCUUGCACAGUUGCUGAUUGGUUGUACCCCCACACCCAACCAGGAAAGGAUAGGAUAGCAACUCAUCCAAAUUCAUUCUGAGGCUAAGUGGCUGUCAAGUCCUCUGGAUCAAACAAACUGAGGGUUAUGUUCCACUCCAGCUCACAUCUAAGGUUUCACAUUUGUCUGCCUGUCCCAGGAAGAAGUUCCAAAGAAUUACCUGUUGCUGACCAUACUUGCAAUGAUGCCAAAGAGAAUAUAGUAAAAAUGCACACAUUUGAAAACAAUAGUAGUACCCCGUUUCAUGGGCUAUUGUGCAGGUGAAAUGAAUCAAAACUUACAAAGAACCUGGAGCCAAACAGUGGGUGCAUGUGUUUGGAAGGAGUUUUCUUUGGGAUUGGGCUGCCAUCAUGAAACAAAAUGGUGGUCAAUAUAUUUCCAACAGGGAGAUGUCUGCUUCUUCACAGGUACACUGGCAGAGGGGGGCCCCUGCUUACCUUCAGAGUCCAGGAUGCUACUCUGGUUCCUGGUCACAGGAUGUGCAUCUCCAGCCUGGGAGGACCUGUCUGUGCAUCUUUAUCCCACACCCUUGACCUCUGCUGUCCCUGAAGUCCCUGCCACAGUACAGAAGGAAGAGCAAGCAGUGAAGUCAGGGAGCAGCUCAGGACUCUGAGGGAGACUAGGAGACCAGGAAGACUUAGAGUAGGAAUGUGACAUGACCCACCUAGAUCUUAACAGGCCGCUGUGCGGAGACUAGACUUUGAGGUGACAAAGGCAGGAGUGACCGCAAUGAUCCAGGCAAGAAAUGAGAAUGACUUGGACCAGGGUGGGCACCAUAGAAGUGGGGCAAAGUGGGAUGGUUCUGGAUGAACUGUGAUGGUUACCAACAGGAUUUGUCAAGAGUUUGGAGGUGGGGUUUGAAAAAAAAAUAGAUUCAGGGUGACACCAAGGUUUGCACUGAGACACGAAUAGAUUAGAGUCACCAUCCACAGAGAUGGGAAGGCCGGAAGGAGGAAAUUGGAGGGAACUAGAGCUGAGAGGGGCCACUGGGCCCACCAGGAGCCCACUGAGAGCAUGUUUCAGGAGACAGAGAGAGGAGUAAAGGGUAGACGAGUGGCGAUCCAAGGACCACCCAUUGACCACCACCCAUUUGAGGGCUGCGUGGCAGAGUCCCAUCCAGAAGGUCAGGGCCUCCAUUCCCCCAAAGGUCCACGCCUAUCAGCACAUUUCUCAAGAGAGAGAGAAAAACAAAACACACACACACACACACACACGUUCGGGGAGGAGAUCGGAGUCGUCUCCCUCUCUCCUCCAGCAGAUAACAUGGCCCUGGACAUGGGCUCAGAAAGAAGCAGUUGACACCUGGCCUUGAAGCGUCCUCCCUGAGGAGCCAGCCCUCCUGUCUCCGGCACAGAACCUCUCAGCCCUGGUCCUAUUUGGUUAUUCUACACGAAGGUUGGUUCUCCCAGGAAAAAGUCAGAAAUUCCUCUCCCUUCAGAAAUAAAAUAUAUACGCCUGCCCGUGGCCUCGCCUCCCUCUUUCUACAUUCUCAGCGUGAGGCUGGGCCUUUAUAAUUCAUCAAAAAGGCCACACGUAAUGAGCUCCGCUCUUACUUGGCAGCCAGACUGCCAGCUCACCUUUUAAGAAGCCUACUCCCUGGUCCGGGACCCUCAGAUCUUCUGGUCCCUGAGGCUGGGGAUGAUUCACUUGUGAGUCAGGCCUGGGGCUGAGCCAGUCCUGCCCUCUGAAGCCCCUCCCCCUCCCGAGGACCAGCCGGGCAGGGAGGGGCCGUGCAGGGAGCUCCCAUUCAUUCAUUCAUUCACCGAACAAGCUCUCCUUAAGUGCCUGCUGUGUCCUGGGCAGUGGAAGUCCAUGUGGACACUGUCUUACAUAAUCUCCCUGACAAUGUCACGAGAAAGAUAUCCACAUGUCCAUUUUGCAGAUGUCGAAACUAAGGUACCAAGAACUUUCACAGGCUGUCCAAGUUCCCUUGACUGGUGUGUAGUACAGAAUGAAUCUUGUCCAAAGAGAGGUAUGGCUUUUGCCAUCUGCUCUAAGUCCUUUGAAUGUCCUCCCUGGAGACCUAAGAGUGUCUUUGUUUACCUGGGGACUUUGGGCCUUGCCAAAUAGUUUAACAGUGGGAUUUAGGGUGGGGGGCUUUGGACCAUAAAAAAUGAACUUGACCUCUAGAAAGAAUGGAGGCUCUCAGCCUCAUGGCCUGUCCACCAUGUCUAUGGGAUCCAACUCCCAUAAAAACUCUGAACACCAAGGCUGGGGUGAGCUUCCCUGGGUGGCAGUAUCCCCUGUACCUUGUCACACAUCAUUGCUAGGAGAUGGUAGCACCGCCCCUGACUCCAAUGGGAAGGGACAGCCAGAAUCUCCACGUGUGGAGCCCACCUGGACUCUGCCCCACG
rnacentral:lncRNA from 1 species